AUGGAUUCAGUGCAGCAGCUGCAGGCCAAGCAGGCAGCACAGCACUACACAUACAAGGCACACACAUCCCAUGCUACUAGUGCUGUUGCCCUUUUGCUCCUGUUGUCUUCUCCGCUCCUGUCGUCUCCUCUCCUCCCCCCCAAAUCCCCCUCCUUUUUUCUUGGUGCUGCUGCUGCUGCACGAAGCCACGAGCGCCUCGCCACCUCGGGAUCGCCUCCAAGAUCCGAUUUUGAUCGCCCCGCCGCCGACGAAUUCGUCGAGACCCGCCCUCGCCGUACCUGCCCAACGGUGCUCGAUUUGGUUGUAGCCUUCUGGUUCUGAAUGUAUGUUAAGGUUGAACUUAAGAGAUUCCGCAUUGUGAAGGAGGUGGGAACAAUAGUAAUGAAUGUUAGGAUCUUUGCUUAUUACCAGUUGAUGCAAGUGUGCCAGGUGAGAUAUUUAUUUGUUGACCUAAAGAAUCCUGUUUCCAAAAUGAUUCAUAGCUGUUGCUAAACAAAAAAUG
rnacentral:lncRNA from 1 species